rnacentral:lncRNA from 1 species
UGGUGGUUAACUUAAACAUUCUAUCGUUCUUUUUUCUUUUUUUCUAAAAGUUUAGCCCUUUGUUUUCCUAUUCUUCCUUCUUUUAUUUUUCUUCUUUCAGCAAUUGAUUUUUUUUAUGUAAAUUGGGAAGUCUUGUUGCCUGUGAGGUCGAUAUUGUGUAAGUUCCGUUGUGAUUCCCUUACAUUUGAGAUUUUCGUUGUGUUAACAAUUUUCUGUCAAAACGGGAUUUUUCUCGUUUACUUGACGUUCUAUUAAACACUCAAUUGGUUACUUUGUUUAGGAAAAGAUAUUGCAAGAAACGUUAAUCUGCUGUGUUAGUUUGAUUUCACCUAUUUUGUGCGAUG